UUGACAUCCCUUGCAUUACUCUUAAUCGAGGAAAUCCCUUCGGGGACAAGGUGACAGGUGGUGCAUGGUUGUCGUCAGCUCGUGUCGUGAGAUGUUGGGUUAAGUCCCGCAACGAGCGCAACCCUUGUCGUUAGUUACUACCAUUAAGUUGAGGACUCUAGGGGGACUGGCCGGGUUAAACCAGGAGGAAAGGUGGGGAUGAACGUCAAAUCAUCUUGCCCCUU
rnacentral:rRNA from 1 species